CUUCCGGUCCUGCAGAAAAGGGAGCGGAAGAGAAUAGACAAUCCGGUGAGAAUCCGGAACGGUACCGCCACUGUAAGCGCGGAGACCCUGCACACAGACGAAAGUCUGCCAUUGGAAUUCAGUUCUGAGAAGGCUGUUCGGGGGCCGGCGAUGCGCAAGUCAGGAGACCUGCUCGAAA
rnacentral:ncRNA from 1 species